rnacentral:tRNA from 1 species
AUUUAAAUAGUUUAAAUAAAACGUUGAUUUGUGGAAUCAAUAAUGUAAGUAGUUACUUUAAAUA